rnacentral:rRNA from 1 species
AUUGAACGCUGGCGGCAGGCCUAACACAUGCAAGUCGAGCGAGCUGCGGACGGGUGAGUAAUGUCUGGGAAACUGCCUGAUGGAGGGGGAUCACUACUGGAAACGGUAGCUAAUCACGCAUACCAUCAGAUGUGCCCAGAUGGGAUUCGCUAGUAGGUGGGGUAAUGGCUCACCUAGGCGACGAUCCCUAGCUGGUCUGAGAGGAUGACCAGCCACACUGGAACUGAGACACGGUCCAGAGUCCUACGGGAGGCAGAAGUGGGGAAUAUGGCACAAGGGGCGCAAGCCGGAUGCAGCCAUGCCGCGUGUGUGAAGAAGGCCGUAGGGUUGGAAAGCACUUUCAGCGGGGAGGCGUUACCCGCAGAAGAAGCACCGGCUAACUCCGUGCCAGCAGCCGCGGUAAUAC